rnacentral:lncRNA from 1 species
GCUUGCUAGGAGAUGUAGUUUCAUAAAGACUUCCAGAACUUUCAUCACAGGGCUGCAGGACUACCAUACCAGGUUCUUCUUUCAGCUGUACCCAGGGUUCUUUCCAGAGCAUUGCGCCUUCUGCAGCCCAGGGCGCUGCCUUCUUUCCUAAACUUCUGUGGAAACUGUCCUGAUGUCUGAGACACUGUCCAUUGUGCCGCAGCCCUCUUUUUACUCUAGCCAGAGCUCAUGCUCAACAGCUUUUGAGAGAAAUCUUCCACGUGGCCUGCUUAUGAACAGCUUCAGAACUCUGCAGGGGGUGACAACGUCUGUGCCUCCCUGGAAAUGUCACUCUCAAUGGCGCCUUUUUCACGAAUGUGAAAGUCAAGGCAUCAGGAAGGUUAAUUAUUGGGUGGCACAAAAUCUGCUAAGAGCAAAGGAGAAGACCCCAUUUCCGAGGAGUGAGACUUGUGAGCCAUUUUCAUCCACCCAUUUAAGCGGACAAGCUCCAAAAUGCAAGCUGAAGCUGCUGAUUAUUUAGGCAUUUUACGCUUGAACUCAUCAGUCUCAUCUCAAGUCACGCCUGACUUGCCAGUGUCUCAGAAACACAGAUGGGACCUGAUCUCUCAGGAACAGAUAGUGUUCCAGGUUUGUUGGAGCGACAUUUAAGAUGUGGAGCACUUGGGGUCCUUUGAAACCCGCUAUCUUCAUUAGGGACUUUUACUUCUAGACAGCAUGUGCAUUUUGAUUUUAUCUAUCCUCAAACUGAACUUUUGCUCAUUUUAAUAGUAAAAACACAUUCCUGGGUGGAGACUUAAUAUGCUAAUGAGACAUGCAAUGUAUGCACAAAUAUGUACAGCUACUGCACAUGUGCACCCAGAAAACGACUCAAAACCUGCUUCCUAUAACACUUCUUUCCACCUUCUUAUGAAUAAUCACGUAAAAGUCCCAGAAGGAGGGUUUCUUCAGUAACAAUUAAUGCUGUCUCACUCUUAUGAGCAGGCUGCCCUGGAAUCUCUUUCUCAGAAUGUACCGUCUAUUCUGCACUUAAUUUUCAAAGUAUUCUUUUGUGUGUGUGUGUGCAAUAAAUUACUCUAUGC